rnacentral:lncRNA from 1 species
UAAGUAUCAAUUCAAUAAUGAAAAGCCAUACGGCAUCUACAAAAAUGUCGCGUCGAACAAACCAUAAAACAGAAACAAUAGCUGAUUAACCCAUUCAUGUCGGAGAUACAAUCACGCCAUUUGUUGAAGAUGAUAUAUUUACAUGUACCCGCUUCACCAUAUCCAGUUGGAACUAAUCCGGUUUGAGCUAUCGACCAUAAUUGCGAUCCCAUAAAAACUCUUAUCACCAAAUCAAACACCAUACUCUCACAAACAAAGGAGAGAAAUACCAAAACUCUCACACAGGAGAGAAAUACCAAAACUCUCACUAAGGAGAGACUACAACGAAACUGAAAUUGCAAAUUAAAUUAAAAUUACAAAAUAAAAGCAAACUUUAGAUCCAGAAAACAAACCACAAAAACAAGAGAAACCGGACCCCUCUAAACCGUAUAGCCAUCCAUUUGAUCGGAGAAGACAAAAAUCCGGAUACUCCGAUGGUUUUGAUCUAAAGAUUUUUAUUGAAAAAUGAAAAGAAGACAAGAGAUUGGGGCUUUCCACCGGAGAAAACCAAUGGUAGCCCCGGAAAUUAUAGUGGAGAAAGAAGCAAGGGAGGCGGCUCUGGAGAGAAUUUUAGGUUUAGGUUUU